AGCGAACGCUGGCGGUAGGCCUAACACAUGCAAGUCGAACGGCAGCACAGGAGAGCUUGCUCUCUGGGUGGCGAGUGGCGGACGGGUGAGGAAUACAUCGGAAUCUACUUUUUCGUGGGGGAUAACGUAGGGAAACUUACGCUAAUACCGCAUACGACCUACGGGUGAAAGCAGGGGAUCUUCGGACCUUGCGCGAUUGAAUGAGCCGAUGUCGGAUUAGCUAGUUGGCGGGGUAAAGGCCCACCAAGGCGACGAUCCGUAGCUGGUCUGAGAGGAUGAUCAGCCACACUGGAACUGAGACACGGUCCAGACUCCUACGGGAGGCAGCAGUGGGGAAUAUUGGACAAUGGGCGCAAGCCUGAUCCAGCCAUACCGCGUGGGUGAAGAAGGCCUUCGGGUUGUAAAGCCCUUUUGUUGGGAAAGGAAUCCAGCUGGCUAAUACCCGGUUGGGAUGACGGUACCCAAAGAAUAAGCACCGGCUAACUUCGUGCCAGCCGCCGCAGUAAUAC
rnacentral:rRNA from 1 species